AAAAAAUUUAGAUUAAACCACAAGCUUAAAAAUAUGUUUUAAAACUAGAAGUAGAUAAAUCAGUUGCAGAGGUAUGUUUGCUUGGAGAAUUCUAUAUAUAACACCAGCAGAAUGCGAGUUUUGGCAUCGGUUGGCCUUGUUUGUUUUCCUGUUUCAUGUAUUCAUUAAAGAGAAGUGUGAAGAUUAUCUCAAGCAGCAGUUUCAUACUUCUCAUUUUUCUAGCCUUCAUCACAGGAUUUAUACAAGCAAAUGCCCAAGCAAAAUUAAUACGUCUGGUGUAAUAACACAGUGAGCCGAUGUUAAGAGAGUAUGUGAAGUCUCCGACAGAUGCCCCAGCACUUGCUCAGAAUACCCCCAAAGCCAAAGUUUGCUAUGUCAAUUUUUAUUGAUCUCUACACUGCAAGCCUCAGUGCAAGCUUAAAAUCUUCCUAAAUUUCUGUCUGCAAAAGUGGCAAAUGGCAGCAAAGUAUAGAGUGAUUAGGAUUAAACAGGUGUUUUGAUAUUUUUCAGAUCACAAAGCAGAUUGUAUAACUCUAGGAUUGGCAUGCUAUAUAAAGAUUCGGGAAAUGAAUUGAAUGUGUGAGAUAAGAGUAAU
rnacentral:misc_RNA from 1 species